rnacentral:rRNA from 1 species
AGUCACGCUGUAAACGAUGUCGAUUUGGAGGUUGUUCCCUUGAGGAGUGGCUUCCGGAGCUAACGCGUUAAAUCGACCGCUGGGGAGUACGGCCGCAAGGUUAAAACUCAAAUGAAUUGACGGGGGCCCGCACAAGCGGUGGAGCAUGUGGUUUAAUUCGAUGCAACGCGAAGAACCUUACCUACUCUUGACAUCCAGAGAAUUUAGCAGAGAUGCUUUAGUGCCUUCGGGAACUCUGAGACAGGCGCUGCAUGGCUGUCGUCAGCUCGUGUUGUGAAAUGUUGGGUUAAGUCCCGCAACGAGCGCAACCCUUAUCCUUUGUUGCCAGCACAUUAUGGUGGGAACUCAAAGGAGACUGCCGGUGAUAAACCGGAGGAAGGUGGGGAUGACGUCAAGUCAUCAUGGCCCUUACGAGUAGGGCUACACACGUGCUACAAUGGCGUAUACAAAGAGAAGCGACCUCGCGAGAGCAAGCGGAACUCAUAAAGUACGUCGUAGUCCGGAUUGGAGUCUGCAACUCGACUCCAUGAAGUCGGAAUCGCUAGUAAUCGUAGAUCAGAAUGCUACGGUGAAUACGUUCCCGGGCCUUGUACACACCGCCCGUCACACCAUGGGAGUGGGUUGCAAAAGAAGUAGGUAGCUUAACCUUCGGGAGGGCGCUUACCACUUUGUGAUUCAUGACUGGGGUGAAGUCGUAACAAGGUAACCA